rnacentral:rRNA from 1 species
GAUGAACGCUAGCGGCAGGCCUAACACAUGCAAGUCGAGGGAGAAGCCCUUUCGGGGGCAGAAACCGGCGCACGGGUGCGUAACGCGUAUGCAACCUACCUUUCACAGGGGGAUAGCCCGAAGAAAUUUGGAUUAAUACCCCAUAAUAUUAUUGGAUGGCAUCAUUUGAUAAUUAAAACUGCGGUGGUGAAAGAUGGGCAUGCGUCCUAUUAGCUAGUUGGAGUGGUAACGGCACCCCAAGGCUACGAUAGGUAGGGGUCCUGAGAGGGAGAUCCCCCACACUGGUACUGAGACAGGGACCAGACUCCUACGGGAGGCAGCAGUGAGGAAUAUUGGUCAAUGGUCGGAAGACUGAACCAGCCAUGCCGCGUGCAGGAAGAAUGCCUUAUGGGUUGUAAACUGCUUUUAUAUGGGAAGAAUAAGGCGUACGAGUACGUUGAUGACGGUACCAUAUGAAUAAGCAUCGGCUAACUCCGUG